GAUGAACGCUGGCGGCGUGCCUAAUACAUGCAAGUCGAGCGAACGGACGAGAAGCUUGCUCCUCUGGUGUUAGCGGCGGACGGGUGAGUAACACGUGGAUAACCUACCUAUAAGACUGGGAUAACUUCGGGAAACCGGAGCUAAUACCGGAUAAUAUUUUGAACCGCAUGGUUCAAAAGUGAAAGACGGUCUUGCUGUCACUUAUAGAUGGAUCCGCGCUGCAUUAGCUAGUUGGUAAGGUAACGGCUUACCAAGGCAACGAUGCAUAGCCGACCUGAGAGGGUGAUCGGCCACACUGGAACUGAGACACGGUCCAGACUCCUACGGGAGGCAGCAGUAGGGAAUCUUCCGCAAUGGGCGAAAGCCUGACGGAGCAACGCCGCGUGAGUGAUGAAGGUCUUCGGAUCGUAAAACUCUGUUAUUAGGGAAGAACAUAUGUGUAAGUAACUGUGCACAUCUUGACGGUACCUAAUCAGAAAGCCACGUCUAACUACGUG
rnacentral:rRNA from 1 species